CCAAACUUUAAAAGUGGAAAACCACUCUCCUUAUAUACAACAUCAAGCAUCCCAUACUACUUGAUGUGGUACUUUGAGCACCCCAUAAUACCCAAGUCCCUAACAAUACACCCCC